CAUGUGGUUUAAUUCGAUGCAACGCGAAGAACCUUACCUAGACUUGACAUCCCUGGAAUUUUGUGGAAACACAAAGUGCCUUCGGGGAACCAGGAGACAGGUGCUGCAUGGCUGUCGUCAGCUCGUGUCGUGAGAUGUUGGGUUAAGUCCCGCAACGAGCGCAACCCUUAUCUUUAAUUGCCAGCAUUCAGUUGGGCACUUUAAAGAGACUGCCGGUGUUAAACCGGAGGAAGGUGGGAUGACGUCAAGUCCUCAUGGUCUUUAUGCUUAGGGCUACACACGUGCUACAAUGGGUGGUACAAAGAGAAGCCAACUCGCGAGAGCGCGCCAAUCUCAAAAAGCCAUCCUCAGUUCGGAUUGGAGUCUGCAACUCGACUCCAUGAAGUUGGAAUCGCUAGUAAUCGCGGAUCAGCAUGCCGCGGUGAAUACGUUCUCGUUUCUU
rnacentral:rRNA from 1 species